GCUAAACGCGAAGAACCUUACCUGGCCUUGACAUGUCUGGAAUCCCGAAGAGAUUUGGGAGUGCCGCAAGGAACCAGAACACAGGUGCUGCAUGGCUGUCGUCAGCUCGUGUCGUGAGAUGUUGGGUUAAGUCCCGCAACGAGCGCAACCCUUGUCCUUAGUUGCCAUCAUUAAGUUGGGAACUCUAAGGAGACCGCCGGUGACAAACCGGAGGAAGGUGGGGAUGACGUCAAGUCCUCAUGGCCCUUACGGCCAGGGCUACACACGUACUACAAUGGUCGGUACAGAGGGUUGCCAAACCGCAAGGUGGAGCCAAUCCCAGAAAGCCGAUCCCAGUCCGGAUCGGAGUCUGCAACUCGACUCCGUGAAGUCGGAAUCGCUAGUAAUCGCGGAUCAACUAUGCCGCGGUGAAUACGUUCCCGGGUCUUGUACACACCG
rnacentral:rRNA from 1 species